GCCACCCUAGCUCAGUUGGUAGAGCGACGCAUUCGUAAUGCGUAGGUCAUCGGUUCAAGUCCGAUGGGUGGCUCCA
rnacentral:tRNA from 1 species